ACGCAGGAAAGGAGGUGGUCCGAGAAAUGAUCGAUUUCAGGACUGGCGAGGUGGCCGUCCGCUAGGACGACGCUGAGCGUUCGCUCGACGCGCGUCGUGGCGAAUCCCAGACGGACACCCGAACCCCGGGCUGUCGGACCUGGUCCGACCCGACCCCGCUCAGGCGGGAACGGCCCGGGGUUCGUUCUGU
rnacentral:sRNA from 1 species